rnacentral:rRNA from 1 species
UACGUAGGGUGCAAGCGUUGUCCGGAAUUAUUGGGCGUAAAGAGCUCGUAGGCGGUCUGUCGCGUCGGCUGUGAAAACUCGGGGCUCAACUCCGAGCUUGCAGUCGAUACGGGCAGGCUAGAGUUCGGCAGGGGAGACUGGAAUUCCUGGUGUAGCGGUGAGAUGCGCAGAUAUCAGGAGGAACACCGGUGGCGAAGGCGGGUCUCUGGGCCGAUACUGACGCUGAGGAGCGAAAGCGUGGGGAGCGAACAGG